GGGUUGUGAGGUUAAGCGACUAAGCGUACACGGUGGAUGCCCUGGCAGUCAGAGGCGAUGAAGGGCGUGCUAAUCUGCGAUAAGCGCCGGUAAGGUGAUAUGAACCGUUAUAACCGGCGAUACCCGAAUGGGGAAACCCAGUGUGACUCGUCACACUAUCAUUAACUGAAUCCAUAGGUUAAUGAGGCGAACCGGGGGAACUGAAACAUCUAAGUACCCCGAGGAAAAGAAAUCAACCGAGAUUCCCCCAGUAGCGGCGAGCGAACGGGGAGGAGCCCAGAGCCUGAAUCAGCAUGUGUGUUAGUGGAAGCGUCUGGAAAGGCGCGCGAUACAGGGUGACAGCCCCGUACACAAAAGCGCAUGUGCUGUGAGCUCGAUGAGUAGGGCGGGACACGUGGUAUCCUGUCUGAAUAUGGGGGGACCAUCCUCCAAGGCUAAAUACUCCUGACUGACCGAUAGUGAACCAGUACCGUGAGGGAAAGGCGAAAAGAACCCCGGCGAGGGGAGUGAAAAAGAACCUGAAACCGUGUACGUACAAGCAGUGGGAGCACAGGUUUACCUGUGUGACUGCGUACCUUUUGUAUAAUGGGUCAGCGACUUAUAUUCUGUAGCAAGGUUAACCGUAUAGGGGAGCCGGAGGGAAACCGAGUCUUAAUUGGGCGUUAAGUUGCAGGGUAUAGACCCGAAACCCGGUGAUCUAGCCAUGGGCAGGUUGAAGGUUGGGUAACACUAACUGGAGGACCGAACCGACUAAUGUUGAAAAAUUAGCGGAUGACCUGUGGCUGGGGGUGAAAGGCCAAUCAAACCGGGAGAUAGCUGGUUCUCCCCGAAAGCUAUUUAGGUAGCGCCUCGUGAAUUCAUCUCCGGGGGUAGAGCACUGUUUCGGCUAGGGGGCCAUCCCGGCUUACCAACCCGAUGCAAACUGCGAAUACCGGAGAAUGUUAUCACGGGAGACACACGGCGGGUGCUAACGUCCGUCGUGAAGAGGGAAACAACCCAGACCGCCAGCUAAGGUCCCAAAGUCAUGGUUAAGUGGGAAACGAUGUGGGAAGGCCCAGACAGCCAGGAUGUUGGCUUAGAAGCAGCCAUCAUUUAAAGAAAGCGUAAUAGCUCACUGGUCGAGUCGGCCUGCGCGGAAGAUGUAACGGGGCUAAACCAUGCACCGAAGCUGCGGCAGCGACACUAUGUGUUGUUGGGUAGGGGAGCGUUCUGUAAGCCGUCGAAGGUGGCCUGUGAGGGUUGCUGGAGGUAUCAGAAGUGCGAAUGCUGACAUAAGUAACGAUAAAGCGGGUGAAAAGCCCGCUCGCCGGAAGACCAAGGGUUCCUGUCCAACGUUAAUCGGGGCAGGGUGAGUCGACCCCUAAGGCGAGGCCGAAAGGCGUAGUCGAUGGGAAACGGGUUAAUAUUCCCGUACUUGGUGUUACUGCGAAGGGGGGACGGAGAAGGCUAUGUUGGCCGGGCGACGGUUGUCCCGGUUUAAGCGUGUAGGUGUGUGUUCCAGGUAAAUCCGGUUCACUUUAACACUGAGGCGUGACGACGAGGCACUACGGUGCUGAAGCAACAAAUGCCCUGCUUCCAGGAAAAGCCUCUAAGCAUCAGGUAACAUCAAAUCGUACCCCAAACCGACACAGGUGGUCAGGUAGAGAAUACCAAGGCGCUUGAGAGAACUCGGGUGAAGGAACUAGGCAAAAUGGUGCCGUAACUUCGGGAGAAGGCACGCUGACACGUAGGUGAAGUGAUUUACUCACGGAGCUGAAGUCAGUCGAAGAUACCAGCUGGCUGCAACUGUUUAUUAAAAACACAGCACUGUGCAAACACGAAAGUGGACGUAUACGGUGUGACGCCUGCCCGGUGCCGGAAGGUUAAUUGAUGGGGUCAGCGCAAGCGAAGCUCCUGAUCGAAGCCCCGGUAAACGGCGGCCGUAACUAUAACGGUCCUAAGGUAGCGAAAUUCCUUGUCGGGUAAGUUCCGACCUGCACGAAUGGCGUAAUGAUGGCCAGGCUGUCUCCACCCGAGACUCAGUGAAAUUGAACUCGCUGUGAAGAUGCAGUGUACCCGCGGCAAGACGGAAAGACCCCGUGAACCUUUACUAUAGCUUGACACUGAACAUUGAGCCUUGAUGUGUAGGAUAGGUGGGAGGCUUUGAAGUGUGGACGCCAGUCUGCAUGGAGCCGACCUUGAAAUACCACCCUUUAAUGUUUGAUGUUCUAACGUGGACCCGUAAUCCGGGUUGCGGACAGUGUCUGGUGGGUAGUUUGACUGGGGCGGUCUCCUCCUAAAGAGUAACGGAGGAGCACGAAGGUUGGCUAAUCCUGGUCGGACAUCAGGAGGUUAGUGCAAUGGCAUAAGCCAGCUUGACUGCGAGCGUGACGGCGCGAGCAGGUGCGAAAGCAGGUCAUAGUGAUCCGGUGGUUCUGAAUGGAAGGGCCAUCGCUCAACGGAUAAAAGGUACUCCGGGGAUAACAGGCUGAUACCGCCCAAGAGUUCAUAUCGACGGCGGUGUUUGGCACCUCGAUGUCGGCUCAUCACAUCCUGGGGCUGAAGUAGGUCCCAAGGGUAUGGCUGUUCGCCAUUUAAAGUGGUACGCGAGCUGGGUUUAGAACGUCGUGAGACAGUUCGGUCCCUAUCUGCCGUGGGCGCUGGAGAACUGAGGGGGGCUGCUCCUAGUACGAGAGGACCGGAGUGGACGCAUCACUGGUGUUCGGGUUGUCAUGCCAAUGGCACUGCCCGGUAGCUAAAUGCGGAAGAGAUAAGUGCUGAAAGCAUCUAAGCACGAAACUUGCCCCGAGAUGAGUUCUCCCUGAGACUUAAAGUCUCCUGAAGGAACGUUGAAGACGACGACGUUGAUAGGCCGGGUGUGUAAGCGCAGCGAUGCGUUGAGCUAACCGGUACUAAUGAACCGUGAGGCUUAACCUUACAACGCCGAAG
rnacentral:rRNA from 1 species